CACGUAGGGGGCGAGCGUUGUCCGGAUUUAUUGGGCGUAAAGAGCUCGUAGGCGGCUCGGUAAGUCAGGUGUGAAACCUCCAGGCUCAACCUGGAGACGCCACCUGAUACUGCCGUGGCUAGAGUCCGGUAGAGGAGCGUAGAAUUCCUGGUGUAGCGGUGAAAUGCGCAGAUAUCAGGAGGACUACCAGCGGCGAAGGCGGCGCUCUGGGCCGGUACUGACGCUGAGGAGCGAAAGCGUGGGGAGCAAACAGG
rnacentral:rRNA from 1 species